GACGAACGCUGGCGGCGUGCUUAACACAUGCAAGUCGAACGGAAAGGCCCUGCUUUUGUGGGAUGCUCGAGUGACGAACGGGUAAGUAACACGUGAGUAACCUACCCUUUACUUUUGGAUAACUUCAAGAAACUGUGGCUAAUACCGGAUAGGAGCUCCUGCUGCAUGGUGGGGGUUGGAACGUUUCGGUGGUUGGGGAUGGACUCGCGGCUUAUCAGCUGGUUGGUGGGGUAGUGGCUUACCAAGGCUUUGGCGGGUAGCCGGCCUGGGGGGGUGACCGGCCAAAUUGGGACGGGGAAAGGGCCAAGACUCCUACGGGAGGCAGCAGUGGGGAAUAUUGCACAAUGGGCGGAAGCCUGAUGCAGCAACGCGGCGGGCGGGAGGACGGCCUUCGGGUGGUAAACGGCUUUCGCAUGGGAGGAAGCGUGAGUGACGGUAACGGGUAAAGAAGCACCGGCUAACUACGUG
rnacentral:rRNA from 1 species